UGAAUACGAGACGCUACGGCGUCGAAGCAGUCUAUGUCAUACUUCCAAGAAAAGCUUGCACUGUCAUAAACAAAUAAUGCCUGUACCAUAACCGACACAGGUGGGUAGGUAGAGUAUACUAAGGGGCGCGAGAUAACUCUCUCUAAGGAACUCGGCAAAAUGACUCCGUAACUUCGGGAGAAGGAGUGCCUUAUUCGUAAGGUUGCAAUAACAAGAUCCAAGCAACUGUUUAUCAAAAACACAGGUCUCCGCUAAGUCGUAAGACGAUGUAUGGGGGCUGACGCCUGCCCAGUGCCAGAAGGUUAAAGAAGUUGGUUAGCAUUCGCGAAGCUGAUAACUGAAGCCCUGGUGAACGGCGGCCGUAACUAUAACGGUCCUAAGGUAGCGAAAUUCCUUGUCGGGUAAGUUCCGACCCGCACGAAAGGCGUAAUGAUUUGGAUACUGUCUCGGAGAGAGGCUCGGUGAAAUAGACUUGUCUGUGAAGAUGCGGACUACCUGCACCAGGACAGAAAGACCCUAUGAAGCUUUACUGUAACUUGAAAUUGAAAUUGGACUUUAUUUGCGCAGUAUAGGUGGGAGGCGUUGAGAAUAUUCUUGCGGGAAUAUUGGAGCCAUCAGUGAGAUACCACUCUUGUAAUGUUAGAUUUCUAACUUUGGAUCAUUAUCUGGUCAAAGGACAGUUUCAGGCGGGCAGUUUGACUGGGGCGGUCGCCUCCCAAACGGUAACGGAGGCGUACAAAGGUUUCCUCUGAACGGGUAGAAAUCGUAUCUAGAGUGUAAAGGCAUAAGGAAGCUUGACUGUGAGACCUACAAGUCGAGCAGGGACGAAAGUCGGUCUUAGUGAUCUGACGGUGCUGAGUGGAAAGGCCGUCACUCAACGGAUAAAAGUUACUCUAGGAUAACAGGCUGAUCUCCCCCAAGAGUUUACAUCGACGGGGAGGUUUGGCACCUCGAUGUCGGCUCAUCGCAUCCUGGGGCGGUAGUACGUCCCAAGGGUUGGGCUGUUCGCCCAUGAAAGCGGUACGCGAGCUGGGUUCAGAACGUCGUGAGACAGUUCGGUCCAUAUCCGGUGUAGGCGUUAGAAUAUUGAGAGGAGCCUUCUUUAGUACGAGAGGACCGAGAAGGACAUACCUCUGGUGUACCAGUUAUCGUGCCAACGGUAAACGCUGGGUAGCUAUGUAUGGAGAGGAUAACCGCUGAAAGCAUCUAAGUGGGAAGCCCACCUCAAGAUAAG
rnacentral:rRNA from 1 species